rnacentral:RNase_P_RNA from 2 species
AAUGACGUUCGGGUAAUCGCUGCAAUGAGCAUUAUGCUACAUUGUAGAGGAAAGUCCAUGCUCGCACGGAGCUGAGAUGCCUGUAGUGAUCGUGCCUAGCCAAUUCAUAAGCUAGGGCAGUUUGGCUUUAAGCUGAACUGACGGCAGGGAAAAUGCCUAAGUCCUUUGGAUAUGGCAUGACUACCUUGAAAGUGCCACAGUGACGGAGCCUUUUCAGAAAUGAAAAGGGUGGAACGAGGUAAACCCCACGAGCGAGAAACCCAAAUAAUGGUAGGGGCACUUUCUCUGAGGAAAUGAACAAGGAGAAGGACAGGUGACGAAUGGUAACCUGUAGAUAGAUGAUUACCACCUAAGUACGAGGUCUAUGACCGUUUGUAGUACAAAGGAACAAAACAUGGCUUACAGAACGUUAUUGGUG